GCUGGGCGCGGUGGCUCACGCCUGUAAUCCUAGCACUUUAGGAGGCUGAGGCAGGUGGAUCACCUGAGGUCAGGAGUUCACGACCAGCCUGGCCAACAUGGUGAAACCCCGCCUCUA
rnacentral:SRP_RNA from 1 species